UGCGGUUAUACAAAAAUUAAAAUAAAUUUUAUUAAAAAUUAAUUAAUAAAUAUUAAAAUUAAUUUAAAUUUUAAAUUAUUAAGUGAAAUUUUAAUUUAAUUAAAUAUUAUUUUAUUUUAUGAUUUAAUAAAUUUUAUAUAUAAACUAGGAUUAGAUACCCUAUUAUUAAAAAUUUAAAUUAAAAAUUUUAAAAUAGUAAAUAUAAUUUAUUGAAACUUAAAUAAUUUGGCGGUAUUUUAGUUCAUUUAGAGGAAUCUGCCUAUUAAUUGAUAAUCCACGAAUAAAUUUACUUAAUUUAUUAUUUUGUAUAUCGUUGUUAAAAAAAUAUUUUUUAAUAAUAAUAAUAUUUUAAAAUUUAAAUUUAAAAUUAAAUCAGAUCAAGAUGCAGAUUAUAAUUAAGAAUAUGGUGGAUUACAAUAAAUUUAUUUAAAUGGAUUUUAAUUUGUAAAAAUUAAUUAAAAAUGGAUUUAAAUGUAAUUUUUAUUAAUUUAUAAAAAUGAUUAAUAAUUAAAAUAUGUACAUAUUGCCCGUCGCUUUCAUUUAUAAAUUGAAAUAAGUCGUAACAAAGUAGAGGUACUGGAAAGUGUUUCUAGAAAGAA
rnacentral:rRNA from 1 species